rnacentral:rRNA from 1 species
GACGAACGCUGGCGGCGUGCUUAACACAUGCAAGUCGAACGGAAAGGCCCUGCUUUUGUGGGGUGCUCGAGUGGCGAACGGGUGAGUAACACGUGAGUAACCUGCCCUUGACUUUGGGAUAACUUCAGGAAACUGGGGCUAAUACCGGAUAGGAGCUCCUGCUGCAUGGUGGGGGUUGGAAAGUUUCGGCGGUUGGGGAUGGACUCGCGGCUUAUCAGCUUGUUGGUGGGGUAGUGGCUUACCAAGGCUUUGACGGGUAGCCGGCCUGAGAGGGUGACCGGCCACAUUGGGACUGAGAUACGGCCCAGACUCCUACGGGAGGCAGCAGUGGGGAAUAUUGCACAAUGGGCGGAAGCCUGAUGCAGCAACGCCGCGUGCGGGAUGACGGCCUUCGGGUUGUAAACCGCUUUCGCCUGUGACGAAGCGUGAGUGACGGUAAUGGGUAAAGAAGCACCGGCUAACUACGUGCCAGCAGCCGCGGUGAUACGUAGGGUGCGAGCGUUGUCCGGAUUUAUUGGGCGUAAAGGGCUCGUAGGUGGUUGAUCGCGUCGGAAGUGUAAUCUUGGGGCUUAACCCUGAGCGUGCUUUCGAUACGGGUUGACUUGAGGAAGGUAGGGGAGAAUGGAAUUCCUGGUGGAGCGGUGGAAUGCGCAGAUAUCAGGAGGAACACCAGUGGCGAAGGCGGUUCUCUGGGCCUUUCCUGACGCUGAGGAGCGAAAGCGUGGGGAGCGAACAGGCUUAGAUACCCUGGUAGUCCACGCUGUAAACGGUGGGUACUAGGUGUGGGGUCCAUUCCACGGGUUCCGUGCCGUAGCUAACGCUUUAAGUACCCCGCCUGGGGAGUACGGCCGCAAGGCUAAAACUCAAAGGAAUUGACGGGGCCCCGCACAAGCGGCGGAGCAUGCGGAUUAAUUCGAUGCAACGCGUAGAACCUUACCUGGGUUUGACAUGGAUCGGGAGUGCUCAGAGAUGGGUGUGCCUCUUUUGGGGUCGGUUCACAGGUGGUGCAUGGCUGUCGUCAGCUCGUGUCGUGAGAUGUUGGGUUAAGUCCCGCAACGAGCGCAACCCUUGUUCACUGUUGCCAGCACGUUAUGGUGGGGACUCAGUGGAGACCGCCGGGGUCAACUCGGAGGAAGGUGGGGAUGACGUCAAGUCAUCAUGCCCCUUAUGUCCAGGGCUUCACGCAUGCUACAAUGGCUGGUACAGAGAGUGGCGAGCCUGUGAGGGUGAGCGAAUCUCGGAAAGCCGGUCUCAGUUCGGAUUGGGGUCUGCAACUCGACCUCAUGAAGUCGGAGCCGCUAGUAAUCGCAGAUCAGCAACGCUGCGGUGAAUACGUUCCUGGGGCU